CAGCCAUGCCGCGUGGAAGGAGAGGUCCUCUGGAUUGUAAACUUCUUUUAUCUGGGAAGAAACCCACGGUUUCUACUGUGGUUGACGGUACCAGAUGAAUAAGCACCGGCUAACUCCGUGCCAGCAGCCGCGGUAAUACGGAGGGUGCAAGCGUUAUCCGGAUUCACUGGGUUUAAAGGGUGCGUAGGCGGGCAGGUAAGUCAGUGGUGAAAUCUCCGGGCUUAACCCGGAAACUGCCGUUGAUACUAUCUGUCUUGAAUACNUGGAGGUGAGCGGAAUAUGUCAUGUAGCGGUGAAAUGCUUAGAUAUGACAUAGAACACCAAUUGCGAAGGCAGCUCGCUACACGGUUAUUGACGCUGAGGCACGAAAGCGUGGGGAUCAAACAGGAUUAGAUACCCUGGUAGUCCACGCCCUAAACGAUGAUUACUCGACAUCAGCGAUACACUGUUGGUGUCUGAGCGAAAGCAUUAAGUAGUCCACCUGGGAAGUACGACCGCAAGGUUGAAACUCAAAGGAAUUGACGGGGG
rnacentral:rRNA from 1 species